rnacentral:lncRNA from 1 species
CAUUUCUUGGACCGCUCCUGCGGCACAUGGAGAUUCCCAGGCCAGGGGUCUAAUCUGUAGCCACCGACCUACACCAGAGCCACAGCAACGCGGGAUCCGAGCCGAGUCUACAACCUACACCACAGCUCACGGCAACGCUAGAUCCCCAACCCACUGAGCAAGGCCAGGGAUCGAACCUAUAACCUCAUGGUUCCUAGUUGGAUUCGUUAACCACUGAGCCAUGGCGGGAAAUCCAGCCUGCCCUUCUGCUCUUAACUCCUAAAUUCCCCAGAAUAGCUAUUAUUUACACUUCUGUUGUAUCACAAGAGUCAAAGAAACAUCUGUGGUAUUUACCUAGCCCCUGGAUUGCUUAAGAGAUGUCACUUAUUUGAGUAGUAGUGACAAGUAUUUUCCACGUGACCAAGGACAGAGCCCCCAGUUUUCAGAGUGCACAUAUAUUGUAGAAUUCUUACCAGACCUAUGAGCAUCUUCAGGAUAGAGUAGGCAAAGUUGACAUGGGCUAUUUCUGUCCCCUUAGCAUUCCGUUGGUAUCCAGCCCUCCUUUCUUUUUCAAUCUAUGGCUAUAUUUAGAGGAGGGCAUAUGUCCCAGGAUUGGGGACUCAGAUAAUUCCAUUUUCCUGAUACAAAGAGAUAGGUUUCUGAAUGGUCAUGUAACCCAAACGAAGCAAUGAAAGUCAUCUCCUGGGAUUUAGCGAUCUCUUACUAAGGACACUAUCUUUUGCUAGAAUUGCCUGGGAUUUAGCGAUCUCUCACUAAGGACACUAUCUUUUGCUAGAAUUGAUAACUCUGAGGAUGACGAAGCUUAGAGCCACCCGCCCCCAUUUCAUGAGGAAAAGGUGCUAAGCAUCAAGCCAAAAAACAAAGCAAAGCAAAAUUGAGAGAUAGGAAGGCAUCAAUGUCCCAGUGAUGUUGCUUUAGCCUUUUGAUAUAGUUGGACUUGAAAUCAGCCACACGUCUGGGCUCCUCAGUACAUUAUAUUUUAAAUUUGUGUGAGUUGGGUUUUUAUCAUUGGUGACCAAAGAAGGAUUGCUUAACCAAGGACACAUCAGGGGAUCCAUUCAUGAAGAUGCCAAACAACUGAUUAGAGCUGGGGACACAGAACAGAUACAACUGCUAAAGCCAGACUCAAGGUGACAGUGAUGCUACCCUCUGUUGAAUGUCUGCCUCAUGACAGAUGAUUGCAGUGUUACAAACACAUGCCCUCUUCCACCCCAUCUCCGGCUCUUCACUAAUAGGUGAUUCCUGAUUGACAGUUAGAGCACAUUCCUAGCAUGGACAACAAAGUGGAAUUUGACACCAAGCUAUUUUUUCUCCUCGGUCAUUUAAUAGUGCCUGCUUGAACUGGUUCCUCUCUGCCGAGUGUCAUUCAAAAAACACCCAAUUGUUGGUCCACCCUUGCUCUGUUGUUGAUGAGAAUGCCAUGUGGGCUAGAAUCAAAGCCUUGGUGAAAUUUGUCUAUUUUACAUCUGCUCCUGGCUGGGAGCUUAAUGAGAUGCAUGGGCAUAAUAAGAUGUGUGUCUGGAGUGUGUAAUGAGAUUCUUGAUUCAAGUGUCUAAUGAAGCCUAUAGCCUAAUGAAAUGUAUAGCGUAAUGAGAUGCAUAGCCUGAAUGUAUGGUACAGAUUUGAAAGUCCUUUUAGAAAAUAUCAUUAGGCAUGCAAAAUUUUCUCCCAUUUAUAUAAGCCCACUCUUUGAGAUUUUUUUGCCUGUAAUUUCUCAAUGCCAUUGUCAUCAUCACCAUGCUUACUUUCCAUAUCCAAAGCUAAGACAACACAAGGCAUGGGCCCUCACUAAGUAUGAUGUGAGAUAUGAAAACUAACCAUAAAUAUUUUUGCUUCUUGAGGAGGAAAAAUGUCAUAUUUUGAUUCUUUCCCUUCACUUUCUUAAUUUUUUAAUUUUUAAAUUUUAUUUUUAUGAAAGCAUAGUUGAUUUAUAGCUCUGUGUCAAUUUCUGCUUUACAGUAUGUUAUCUCAGUCAUAUAUAUAUAUAUAUAUAUACAUAUAUUCUUUUUCUCAUACUGUCCUCCAUCAUGUUCUACCCCAAGAUAUUGGAUAUAGUUCCCUGUGCUAUGCAGAAGGACCUCACGGACCUCAUUGGACCUUGCCUACCCACUCUAGAUGUGAUAGUUUGCAUCUACCAACCCCAGACUCCCUGUCCAUUCUACUUCCUCACCCUCCCUCUUGGCAACCACAAAUCUGUUCUCUGUGUCCAUGAGGCUGUUUGUGUUUUGUGUUCAUUCAUGCCGUAUUUUAGAUUCCACAUAUAAGGGAUAUCAUAUAGCAUUUGUCUUUGUCUUUCUGACUUACUUCACUUAAUAUAAGUCUCUAGUUGCAUCCAUGUUGCUACAAAUGGCAUUAUUUUGUUCCUUUUUAUAGCUGAGUUGUAUUCUACUGUAUACGUGUACCACAUCUUCUCAAUACAUUCAUUUGCUGAUGAACAUUUAGGUUGUUUCCAUGUCUUGGCUAUUGUGAAUAAUGCUGCAAUAAACAUAAGGGUACAUGCAUCUUUUUGAAUGAAAGUUUUGUCCUGAUAAAUGCCCAAGAGUGGAACUGCUGGAUCAUAUGGUAGUCCCAUGUUUAGUUUUCUGAGGAACCUCCAUACUGUUCUCCAUACCCACUUUCCCUCCUUCCACCACUUACAAAAAUAUUUAUAUCAUGGGAAUAUUUAUGAAAAAUUGAUUUUCCUAUAAAUGUGAGAAGUUGUCCAAAGGGUAGUAAUAUUGACUAGGAAUGUCCUAGAAAUCAUUCAGUGCAUCGCACUGAAACCCUAUGUUCUGACAAUGGAUGUUUUCAGUAAAUGAAACAGUUGAAGUAUAAUCACUUUGGAAACAAACAAAAAUGCUAAUAAGAAUUACCCCUAAUUUUUCCUUUAACCUUGAAAAUAGCUGAGAGUGGUUAUGAAUUAAACUAUAGUGGAGAUAUUUCCAUCUUUGAAUUAAACUAUAGUGGAGAUAUUUCCACUUUUUCACAGGUUUGUUUAAAAGUAUUAAAGAUUUCAUUCUGCCAAAAACUACUGGUGAUUAACCCCAAGUAUGAGGUAUACAUUACAUGAACUGGUCCUAAAAUUUCUGAAGAGCUGUGGAGAGCUUUAGCAGUGAGAAUCUCAUUUGCAACAGCCUCUUGGAUGAAACCCAGGACACUCUUUUGAAAAUUUAUAGGGACUAGUCUAUCCAGCAGUUUAACAGGCAGUCUGAUUUUUUUUUAAAAUACCCUAGCCAAGGCUUUAUCUCCUUCCCAUCUCCCAGAUUGAAUAUCCAUUAUCUCUCAAGAUGCCAUUACCCUCAGAUGCCUCAGAUUUAUUUGUCUAGCUCUUUUAUAGAAUAAAGGCCUGAUAGGGUCCCCUUUAAAUACACAUCCGAACCACAUUUGAGAAACCAGCAGUUGGUCCCAUCAUUUCACUAACUUAAGAUUAUGCCUUUCUAAUGCAGGGGAAUCAUAAAUUUCACUCCCAUGUGCAUUUUACAAUUAUGGAAAGGAAUGAAUCAAAAAAAAAAAAACCACUGAAAGAUCAGAAUUUUUUUUCCAAUUUAUUUUCCAGCUGUUCUUUUCUACGCAUGGGAUAGUUUUCUUAGGUAUGUAUAGAUAGGAACCCCUGUGCAUAUGCUCAAUACUAGUUUGUGGAUCAUUGAUUAAUUGAUUAUUUUGAUCCAAAGCCUGGCCUCAACCUGACUAACCUUAUCUGCCUCUCCUAAUCCUAGCAUUACUAGCUUAGUAUAUUUUUAAACUUCUUGAUAUACCAUGAAACAUUUAGGCAUGAAAGUUUAUUGUUAAAUUGAUAGAAUCUAGGUCUCUGAAAGUUUAUUGUUAAAUUGAUAGAAUCUAGGUCUCUGUGUUAUCUACAUGAUAUAAACCAUUGUAGACUAGUGGCUCCCAUUUAAACACUAGUUAUGCCCUUAUGUGCAAAGUGACUCUACAAAAUGACAGCAAGUAAAGGUAUUUUAUUUUUCUAAAGGUAUGUUCAAAUCUGGAAACUUCUUGAAACACACUGGGGUCUGUCUUACCCAAGUGAACUGCCUACUCUGAUCAAAUUCAUCAGCUUGCUUACCCAAUUCCUGUUCACUGGGUGCUGUGAUGUGUCACAAAUUCAGUUGCAUUUAUUCCCCCGAAGUUAUGUAGCUAUCUCUGUGAGUAGCCAUUUAUUCUUUGCAUAGUUUUGUGUUAAUGUAGAGGACCAGUCUGUGGGCAGCUUGAGGGAUAUACACAGAGGAAGUUCAGAGCUGGCAAGAGCCUGGUUAGAAUCAAGGCAAGGUGGAGCAGGAGGCAAGCCUGGGAAAGGACUGAAAAUCUCUGGUUCCAGGGAAGCUGGUGGACUUCAACCAUGGAGACUCUAGGUCAGAGUUUCUCAAAAUGGAAUCUCAGAUCGCCUGCAGCAGAAUUAUAUGGAAAGUGUGAUGAAAAAAAAAAUUUAACUCCAAUCAACUUUACUCAAUCAAAAUUUCUAGGAAAGAUCUCCAGAAUGUCUGGCAGCUUGUAGAUGAUUAUUGAAUGAAGAAAGGAAUAAUUGAACAAACUGUACUGAUAUUAACAAACAUCAAACACUUAAAAUCUCUUAGCCAUCCAGCUCUCGAUUAGGAAUAAAACAGAUCAAUGAAGGAUGCCAUUAACAAAAGGAUGUCUGGUGCUAAGCCAAACGCCAUUCAAGUUGGUGGAUGGUCACAUCCUAUCUCAUUCUGUCUUCGCCCUUCUUUAGAAACCAAAUGGUGUUCCGUAGUCUGGCAUCAUCUGUGAUACCAGUAUGUUGUGGCUCCUGAGUCCGCACAUGUAAAUCUUUCCAACUUCAUGGUUCAAGUAAGGUGAAAGAUCAGGUGGGCAUUGUCCCCACAUUUGCACAAAGGUUGAUGAUAGACACAGCCAUAACUUUCUGGAGCCAAGGUUCUGAAAAGUUAAGGCACUUGCUC